rnacentral:rRNA from 1 species
GUACACACCGCCCGUCGCUGCUACCGAUUGAAUGGCUUAGUGAGUUCCAUGGAUUCGCGGUCUUGCCGGGUUCGCUCGGCAUUGGCCGUGGAGAAGUGGAUCAAACUUGACUAUUUAGAGGAAGCAAAAGUCGUAACAAGGUUUCCGUAGGUGAACCUGCAGAAGGAUCA